UACGUAGGGGGCAAGCGUUGUUCGGAAUUACUGGGCGUAAAGGGCGCGUAGGCGGCAUGGCAAGUCGGGAGUGAAAGGCCUGGGCUCAACCGAGGAAGUGCAUCCGAUACUGCGAUGCUUGAGUGUUGGAGGGGGUGGCGGAAUUCUCGGUGUAGAGGUGAAAUUCGUAGAUAUCGAGAGGAACACCGGUGGCGAAGGGCGGCCUUCUGGACAGUGACGUGA
rnacentral:rRNA from 1 species